UUAAAACAUUAAUGUUGUAGGUAUAAGUGAUGUGUUGUUUUUAGUAUUUUUUCCAUGCACAAUUUUGUUAAGUAAGGAUUAGAGCGUCGAAUGUUUGAAAUGUUUGGUCAUAAUUACACAUGGAAUUUACACAGGUAUCACUCCGCCAGAAAAGUAGAGACCUGUUUAUGUGUUUCGUGUUUCCAUAACAGGUAUCACUCCGCCAGAAAAGUAGAGACCUGUUUAUGUGUUUCCAAAACAGGGGGCAUGUGGUGAGACGCAGCCAACGGGCCGACAGUGGGCUGAGAGAAACGGUCCUGACCAAGAUGGAGGCCAGGAGGCGGGGCAUGCGGCAGAGAGGAGAGGCGUGACGCACGCGGAGCAGCACGGGAGCAGCAAUCUGAGUCAGGUGCGUACAACACACACCUGCUCACAAUCUCUCCAUCUGCUGCUACAGCAUAAGAAGGGCGAGGGAGGAAUGACCAGUGCAGAAGACAGAGGAGGAACUGCAGCUGACGACAACGACGAGAGCGACCCGGAAAAAGAUGAGCCCCCGCGGAAGACGCAGCAGCCGCCCACCGAAAGGCGCGCCAAAACGAGCAGCCAAAAAGGUUGCGCUAGAAAGUGGCGCGACCGAUUGGGACACGACGCAGUUUGUUGAAAGGAUAAACGAGUAUCAACCUUGCUACGAGGUGUCUUGCAUCCAUGGUCCUUACAACCCACACGGUGAUGGCAGGAAGUCCGUCACAGGGUACAUCACUGAGGUUGAGAACCACUGCUUUUCCAUCUGGCAAUCUGAUGGAUGAGUCUGGGUUUGGAGGUUGCCAAGAAAACGCUACAUUUCGGACUGCAUUGUGCCAAGUAUGAAAUUUGGUGGAGGAGGUAUUAUGGUGUGGGGUUGUUUUUUCAGGAGUUGGGCUCGACACCUUAGUUCCAGUGACAGGAAUUUCAAAUGCUCCAGGAUACCAAAACAUUUUGGGCAAUUCCAUGGGAUGUCACUUUAAGUUCAUAAGUGUUUAAAGGCAGGUGGCCAAAUUAUUUUGGCAAUAUAGUGUAGAUCGGUUACGUCAUCGAUCUACAACUACCACCAUAAUAAAUACAUCUUUAGAUGAAUACUUCUCUGUUAGUGUCAAAACUAAAGGAUUACUUGUGGUAAAUGCAGAAUAUUUGACACAGUACAGCGCUUUCAUUGGAUUCCAGAAGUGCACAGUGUUAGUUUAUGCACGUUGACAUUUUAAGCAGUCAGUGUGGCUUGUUCAGCACUCUGUAUUCCAUUAAAAUGGACAAAAUUUAAUGUCAUAACAAAGUUGUACGCUAUACCCCAGCAAAACACC